rnacentral:rRNA from 1 species
AUGCCGCCGCCUCCCAUCUCAGGCGAGAUCCGGCGGGCGGCGAUGAAGCGACCCGCCCUGCUCGCCGUCCCGGCCGUCCUCCUCCUCUCCCUCUCCUUCCUCCUCCUCAGGCCCUCCAUCCCGCCCUUCCCCCUCCCCUCCGCGCGCACCACCGACCCUGACCACCACGGCCGCCGCCUGAGCGUCUACGUCGCCGACCUCCCGCGCGCGCUCAACCAUGGCCUGCUCGACCUCUACUGGUCGCUGCCCUCCGCCGACGCCCGCAUCCCGGCCUCCUCAGACCCGGACCACCCGCCGCCGCGCGACCACCCGCCCUACCCCGCCAGCCCCCUCAUCCGGCAGUACAGCACCGAGUACUGGCUCCUGCGCUCCCUCCUCGGCCCCGCCGCCCCCGCGUCCGCGGCGGUGAGGGUCGUCGCCGACUGGAGGGAGGCCGACGUGGUGUUCGUGCCCUUCUUCGCCACGCUCUCCGCGGAGAUGGAGCUCGGCUGGGGCGCCACCAAGGGCGCCUUCCGCAGGAAGGAGGGGAAUGGGGACUACCGGCGCCAGAGGGAGGUCGUCGACCGCGUCACCGCCCACCCGGCCUGGCGCCGGUCCGGCGGCCGCGACCACGUCUUCGUCCUCACAGACCCUAUGGCAAUGUGGCAUGUCCGGGCGGAGAUUGCUCCUGCAAUUCUACUGGUGGUUGAUUUUGGCGGGUGGUACAAACUCGAUUCAAAAUCUGCAGGCGGCAACUCUUCUCAUAUGAUACAGCACACUCAAGUGUCAUUGCUGAAAGAUGUUAUUGUGCCUUACACACAUUUGCUACCUACCCUGCACCUAUCAGAAAAUAUGGAUCGCCCCACCCUUCUGUACUUCAAGGGAGCCAAGCACAGGCAUCGGGGUGGUUUGGUGCGUGAAAAACUGUGGGAGUUGAUGGUUAACGAGCCUGAUGUUGUCAUGGAAGAAGGUUUUCCUAAUGCCACAGGACGUGAACAAUCAAUUAAAGGGAUGCGGACAUCAGAGUUUUGCUUGCACCCAGCUGGUGACACCCCAAGUUCAUGUCGUCUAUUUGACGCUGUUGCAAGUCUUUGCAUACCAGUCAUUGUCAGCGAUGACAUUGAGCUUCCUUUCGAAGGGAUGAUAGACUACACAGAAUUCUCCAUUUUUGUGUCAGUCGGUAACGCAAUGAGGCCCAAAUGGCUAACGGACUACCUAAGGAAUAUCUCCAAGCAGCAGAAGGAUGAAUUCAGAAGAAACCUGGCUGGAGUCCAGCAUAUCUUUGAGUACGAAAACAGUCACCAACAUAGCAAGGUCUCUGCCCCAGAAGAUGGUGCUGUGAACCACAUAUGGAAGAAGAUUCAUCAGAAGUUGCCGAUGAUUCAAGAAGCAGUCACCCGGGAGAAGCGGAAGCCUGAAGGCGCGUCCAUCCCACUUCGGUGCCAUUGUACCUGA